rnacentral:rRNA from 1 species
UAGGGAAUCUUCGGCAAUGGGGGCAACCCUGACCGAGCAACGCCGCGUGAGUGAAGAAGGUUUUCGGAUCGUAAAGCUCUGUUGUAAGAGAAGAACGUGUGUGAGAGUGGAAAGUUCACACAGUGACGGUAACUUACCAGAAAGGGACGGCUAACUACGUGCCAGCAGCCGCGGUAAUACGUAGGUCCCGAGCGUUGUCCGGAUUUAUUGGGCGUAAAGCGAGCGCAGGCGGUUUAAUAAGUCUGAAGUUAAAGGCAGUGGCUUAACCAUUGUUCGCUUUGGAAACUGUUAAACUUGAGUGCAGAAGGGGAGAGUGGAAUUCCAUUUGUAGCGGUGAAAUGCGUAGAUAUAUGGAGGAACACCGGUGGCGAAAGCGGCUCUCUGGUCUGUAACUGACGCUGAGGCUCGAAAGCGUGGGGAGCAAACAGG